rnacentral:rRNA from 1 species
AUUGAACGCUGGCGGCAGGCCUAACACAUGCAAGUCGAGCGGGCGGCGGACGGGUGAGUAAGGUAUAGGGACUGCCCGAUAGAGGGGGAUAACUACUGGAAACGGUAGCUAAUACCACAUACUAUCGGAUAGCACAUAUGGGAUUAGCUAGUAGGUGAGGUAAGGGCACACCUAGGCGACGAUCCCUAGCUGGUCUGGGAGGAUGAUCAGCCACACCGGUACUGAGCCCCGGCCCCGCCUCCGACGGAGGCAGCACUGGAGAAUAUUGCACAAUGGACGCAAGCCUGGUGCGGCCCUGCCGCGUGUAUUAAGGAGGCCCUAGGGUUGUAGAGUUCUUCCAGUCGGGAGGCGUUACCGACUGAAGAAGCACCGUCUAACUCCGUGCCAGCAGCCGCGGUAAUAC